AUACGGUGGAGACUCACUGACAUGUGGAAUCCCAAAACAGUCCCAUUCAGAGUGAAGAAUGGUGUUUGGCAGGGCAUGGAGGGAGAGAUGGGAAACAUCACUCAAGGCAUAUGCAGCUUUAGACAGGACAAAUGAACUCUGGGGUUGUUGUACAACAGCAUGGUGACUGUGGUUCACAUAAAUAUUGCAUAUCUAUUAUUUGCUGAGGGUCUAGACUUCAUGUUAAGUAUUCUUACCAAAAUAGUUAAUGAUCUAAUAACAGAGGGAGGAAACUUUAACAGAUGGCAAAUGUGACUUGGGUAAAUAUGAUAGGGAAGCUGGUUCCACAGCCGCACAGCCUGUGCGUCCCACAGUCCGGGUGCAGGGAAGCAGCCUCCUGUGUGUUAAAUGUCUCCUGUGAGCUCCUGCUUUGUAUUCUGGGAAGCAAUGAAGCCUUUACAAGUUGAAAGAAGGACUAGCAAGACAACUCAAGAGGUUAAGGUACUCGCUGCCAAACCUGACAAGAUUGGGGUUCAAUUCCUGGGACCCACAAAAUUAAAGGUGAAGAAGCUGUGAGCUCCCAGCUUCCUGUUCCUGCCGGCAAGCCUGCCACUUCUUCCCAUGCCUCCCUGCCAAGGUUUGCUCUCACUUCUCUGGGACUGUGAACCCAAACUCCUCCUGGCCCAGCCUCCUCCGAGUGCUGCGAGAGCAGGUGCAAACCACCACACCUUUCUCUAAAGCAUUGCUUCUAAUUCCGUUGAAUUUAUAAGCAGAAGCAGAAUCACUGGAUCAGAGAACUCUCAACCUGCAGAGACAGGCCAGGCUGCAUUCCCCAGCAGCCUCCCCAGUGCACAGGGUUCAUCUCCUUGUUGUGCUAAGUCACUAUCCUAAUUGACUUGCAUCUUCUGAAUGUUCUUCUAAAGUCUCUUCCCUUUUAAUCAAGUUGCUUAUCUUAUCGCUGUUGAAUUUUAAUUUUUAAAAAAAUAUCCUAAAUGCUAGUUCUUUAAAAAUAUUUAAAUGUUAACUGUGCAUGUGUGUGCACACUCACAUGCAUGCACACACUUCAUUUUGCCUGGAGCUGGAGUUACAGGUUGCUGUGCACCUCCUAGUGUGGGCAUUAGGAACAGACCCUGGAUCCUCUAAAAUAGCAGCAAUUUCUUUUAACCGUUGAGCCACCCCUCCAACCACAUGUACAUAUUCUUUGUCAUAUACAUAAUUUGAAAAUAUUUCUCCCAUUCUGUAGGAUGCCCAUCACAGUAUCUUGAUGUAGAUUUUCUUUAAUUUGUCCACUUGUCUUGUUGUCUUGCCUGUCUUUGGUAUUAUAUUCAAGAAAUUAUGGCCAAAUCUAGUAUUGUAAACCUUUGUCCCAUGUUUUCUUCUAAGCUCUUUGUAAUUUUAGAUCACAGAUCUAUUCUGAGUUGUUGUGUAGGCUCCAUAAUUCAUAUGGCUUUUCCAGCAUCAUGGGAAAAGCUAUCUUCUCUUACUGGUCUUAGAACUCAUUAAAAAAAAUGUUUCUGGGCUUUCUAUACUAUUCCAUCCAUGUAUACAUGCAUUUUCACAUCAGUAUAUACCACACUGUUUUAGAUUUUUUUUUCCCUAACCAAUUGUUCUGGCUAUUCAAGGUCUUUCAAGGCAGAGUUUAGGCUGCAUUUUUCUUUUAGGCUCUAUCUUCAUGUCUGUUGACUAUGUAUGUGUAUGUAUGCCUGUGGAGGACAGAAGGCAACAGAUCCCUGCAACUGGAGCUAUUGGUGGUAGUUGUACGUAGCCUGAUGGAAGUGCUGAGACUUGCACUCGGAUUCUCUGGGAGAGUAACAAGAGCUCUCAAAUGUUGAGCCUUCUCUCUGUAAAGGCUGAAAAUUUCUAUUUAUAAAAUCAAGUGCCAUUGAGAUUUUAG